AAGGACAAAUAUCUAUCAUUCAUCGAAAAAAGCAAGAUGGAAUGGUUUGUCCUCGAAAACUGCGCAGAAGUUAGGGAGUACAUGAAUGAAUUCAAACAUACACAUCCCCAUGAUGAUCUUAAAACCAAAUUUCCGGGAUGGUUUCUCCAUAAGGUCCAUUCGAUGAAAACACAAAAUUCUCCAGAAUUCCACCCGGAGUUGUAUGCUCUUUCAAUUUGUGCGAAAAUGACUGCUUACACUUACAC